AACGAACGCUGGCGGCAGGCCUAACACAUGCAAGUCGAGCGAACCCUUCGGGGUUAGCGGCGGACGGGUUAGUAACGCGUGGGAAUAUACCCUUUGGUACGGAAUAGCCUCGGGAAACUGAGAGUAAUACCGUAUGUGCCCUUCGGGGAAAGAUUUAUCGCCAAAGGAUUAGCCCGCGUUGGAUUAGAUAGUUGGUGGGGUAAUGGCCUACCAAGUCUACGAUCCAUAGCUGGUUUGAGAGGAUGAUCAGCAACACUGGGACUGAGACACGGCCCAGACUCCUACGGGAGGCAGCAGUGGGGAAUCUUAGACAAUGGGCGCAAGCCUGAUCUAGCCAUGCCGCGUGGACGAUGAAGGCCUUAGGGUUGUAAAGUCCUUUCAGAUGGGAAGAUAAUGACGGUACCAUCAGAAGAAGCCCCGGCUAACUCCGUG
rnacentral:rRNA from 1 species